UGGGGAAUUUUGGACAAUGGGCGAAAGCCUGAUCCAGCAAUGCCGCGUGUGUGAAGAAGGCCUUCGGGUUGUAAAGCACUUUUGUCCGGAAAGAAAUCCUUGGCUCUAAUACAGUCGGGGGAUGACGGUACCGGAAGAAUAAGCACCGGCUAACUACGUGCCAGCAGCCGCGGUAAUACGUAGGGUGCAAGCGUUAAUCGGAAUUACUGGGCGUAAAGCGUGCGCAGGCGGUUUGCUAAGACCGAUGUGAAAUCCCCGGGCUCAACCUGGGAACUGCAUUGGUGACUGGCAGGCUAGAGUAUGGCAGAGGGGGGUAGAAUUCCACGUGUAGCAGUGAAAUGCGUAGAGAUGUGGAGGAAUACCGAUGGCGAAGGCAGCCCCCUGGGCCAAUACUGACGCUCAUGCACGAAAGCGUGGGGAGCAAACAGGAUUAGAUACCCUGGUAGUCCACGCCCUAAACGAUGUCAACUAGUUGUUGGGGAUUCAUUUCCUAGUAACGUAGCUAACGCGUGAAGUUGACCGCCUGGGGAGUACGGUCGCAAGAUUAAAACUUAAAUGAAUUGACGG
rnacentral:rRNA from 1 species